rnacentral:rRNA from 1 species
GACGAACGCUGGCGGCGUGCUUAACACAUGCAAGUCGAACGGAAAGGCCCUGCUUGCCGGGUACUCGAGUGGCGAACGGGUGAGUAACACGUGGGUGAUCUGCCCUGCACUUCGGGAUAAGCCUGGGAAACUGGGUCUAAUACCGGAUAGGAGCCAUUUUUAGUGUGAUGGUUGGAAAGUUUUUUCGGUGUAGGAUGAGCUCGCGGCCUAUCAGCUUGUUGGUGGGGUAAUGGCCUACCAAGGCGGCGACGGGUAGCCGGCCUGAGAGGGUGGACGGCCACACUGGGACUGAGAUACGGCCCAGACUCCUACGGGAGGCAGCAGUGGGGAAUAUUGCACAAUGGGCGCAAGCCUGAUGCAGCGACGCCGCGUGGGGGAUGACGGCCUUCGGGUUGUAAACUCCUUUCGCUAGGGACGAAGCUUUUUGUGACGGUACCUAGAUAAGAAGCACCGGCUAACUACGUG